UUAACCGCUUUUUAAGAGCAAUUGACCUUAAAGUCGUUCAGGUAAUCAAAUUUCAGCUUAAAUAUCGCAUUUUCAAGCUGCAAGACUUCAAACUGAAAAUAUUGACGAAGUGCAAUUGAAAGCUCAAAACGAUCGUUGUUUUAAACCUUUAACUGCAUAUUUUUACUUUAUCUUCACAAUCGGACUUUCCGAACGUCCCGACUCAACAUUUUUCGACUGACUCGAGCCGCAAAACUCAACUUAAACUUGGCAUUUUGCCACUCAACUUGAAAGUUUCGUGACAAUGACAUGUGACCAGUAAGCUCGACAGUUUUUUUUAACAUAAACGCUUGUCUUUGAAGGUUUUUCCGUAAAAUAUCACCGAUCUAUUCCAAACAAAAACUGUUCUCGAAGUUUUCAAAAACAUGGCAAUACUUCCUCCCGACCUCAUAAACGCAACACAGAACACUCGAACAUCUUCCUCCGGGUCUUCGAAAACUUCUUUAAAUAUAAUUUUCAAGCACAGAAGCACACACUGUGCGCAAUAAAAUUGUAGAAAAUUCAUUUCAAAUUCGCUGUGUGAGAACUUUUCUAACUCGGUCAAACAGGAAACUUUGACUUAAGUGAACUCCAACUCCAAAGUAAGUAGUUUAUUAGAGGUCGUUGACAUCGCUCAUGUCAGCCUCGAGUGCGGCCAUUUUAGUUAACUUCAAAUUUGAGUGAAGGUUUGAGUUGUGCGUUAACAGUGCGGUUUUCUUGCAAAAAAACUGUGAAAUUUCCAGGAAAAAAGGUCUGGAAUUCAAGCAGAGCGAGCACAGGGACUAACAUCGUUUGAAACGAAACUCUCCGUGCCCUAGCAGACCAAACCCUGCUUUUCCGAUAAAAACACCCGCAGCUUUUUGCUGUUAAUUUGGAGCAAAUGUGUAAAUAAAAUGGGCGAAUACACAUGCAAACCACGAGCAGAAGUGAGGAUAUUUUCAUCAAAUAAAUCUCGACCUCAGUUUGAACAAAUGCCAUAACAUCCAAUAGUGACGGAAAAUCCUGAAAAAUUGAAGGUAAAACCAACUCAACCUGAUAUAACGCGCUUAAAUGCCCUCCGCGGCCAUAUUGUUUUAUGUGACGUCGGCUACUGUUUGGGUAAU